rnacentral:rRNA from 1 species
ACGGAAGGCAGCAGUGGGGAAUAUUGCACAAUGGGGGAAACCCUGAUGCAGCGACGCCGCGUGAGUGAAGAAGUAUUUCGGUAUGUAAAGCUCUAUCAGCAGGAAAGAAAAUGACGGUACCUGACUAAGAAGCCCCGGCUAACUACGUGCCAGCAGCCGCGGUAAUACGCAGGGGGCAAGCGUUAUCCGGAUUUACUGGGUGUAAAGGGAGCGUAGACGGCUUUGCAAGUCUGAAGUGAAAGCCCGGGGCUCAACCCCGGAACUGCUUUGGAAACUGUAGAGCUAGAGUGCAGGAGAGGUAAGUGGAAUUCCUAGUGUAGCGGUGAAAUGCGUAGAUAUUAGGAGGAACACCAGUGGCGAAGGCGGCUUACUGGACUGUAACUGACGUUGAGGCUCGAAGGCGUGGGGAGCAAACAGGAUUAGAUACCCUGGUA